AAACACUAAAUUAUUCACUGUGAAGCAAAUAAUUCAUGAGAGUCAUUUCAGAUAUUAGUCUUAGAGAUAGAAUUUGUACAACAAAGGAACAAUAUGAGACAAACAACCUUGGCGAUUUGUUUGCUUGUUGGCCUGACUUUGAGGAUUAAUUGUGAUGACGAGUGUUCGCUUACAGGAGAAACAUGCUAUGUCGUCCUUGGAUGUUGUCGAGAGGCAUAUAAUAAGGCUGCAGACAGAGAGGGAAUUAGCUGCAGAGUAGCACAGAAUUUCGCACGCUGUCUCGAGCCGCAUAGACAGAGAUGCAGCGAUAAGCAAUCCUGGCUGGACCACACCAACUUUGCAAAUACGAUGAUCGAGGUCUUUAACUGUUAAGACACUAAUAAUGUGUCAGUGAAUGAACCAGUGAAUUCUGGUUAGCUGAAUCACCACAGUUCAAUUCAUAUUUUUCACAUGGAAACACUCCACUGCAUUAAAAAAAAUCAGAUGAUCGGAUGAGGCCUAUCCCUGUUUAUCCAUCCGAUCACAAAGCAUUAAGAAACUUGAAACAAUUUUCGCGCUUUAUUCGUUAUGCAUGUUCCUGUAAUUUGUCAUUAAAUGUUCUGAAGAGAUUUUUUCGAGACGUUUCCUUUGUAAUAUUCAAUGUAAUAGGUUAAGUAAUAAGCAUACAAUGUAACAGGUCUAUAAUUAGCAGUGUGAUAAAAACACUUUCUAUAUGUGUACAAGGAUUGUUUUAACCUAGUCAUUUGGAAGCAGUCAAGUCAUGAAUGAGUGUUUUGAGAAAUAAUUGUCGACAGUUUUAAAUUGUUAACUGUUGGAAAUAGUUAAUUCGUUCGUGCUUUUUUAUUUUAAAUUUUUGUACAUAACCAGUAAAAAAAUGCUGAGAAGUAGUAAAUAUACAUGUCCAUUUGGGUUGUAUGCUUUCUGAACUUUACUUUAAAAAUUAAAAAUACAUGUACUUCAUACUGAA